rnacentral:rRNA from 1 species
AUUGAACGCUGGCGGCAGGCCUAACACAUGCAAGUCGAGCGGAUGAAGGGAGCUUGCUCCUGGAUUCACCGGCGGACGGGUGAGUAAUGCCUAUGAAUCUGCCUGGUAGUGGGGGACAACGUCCGGAACCGGGCGCUAAUACCACAUACGUCCUGAGGGAGAAAGUGGGGGAUCUUCGGACCUCACGCUAUCAGAUGAGCCUAGGUCGGAUUAGCUAGUUGGUGGGGUAAUGGCCUACCAAGGCGACGAUCCGUAACUGGUCUGAGAGGAUGAUCAGGCACACUGGAACUGAGACACGGUCCAGGCUCCUACGGGAGGCACCAGUGGGGAAUAGUGGACAAUGGGCGGAAGCCUGAUCCAGCCAUGCCGCGUGUGUGAAGAAGGUCUUCGGAUUGUAAAGCACUUUAAGUUGGGAGGAAGGGCAGUAAGUUAAUACCUUGCUGUUUUGACGUUACCAACAGAAGAAGCACCGGCUAACUUCGUG